AUUGAACGCUGGCGGCAUGCUUUACACAUGCAAGUCGAACGGCAGCGCGGGCUUCGGCCUGGCGGCGAGUGGCGAACGGGUGAGUAAUACAUCGGAACGUGCCCAGUAGUGGGGGAUAGCUCGGCGAAAGCCGGAUUAAUACCGCAUACGACCUGAGGGUGAAAGCGGGGGAUCUUCGGACCUCGCGCUAUUGGAGCGGCCGAUGGCAGAUUAGCGAGUUGGUGGGGUAAAGGCCUACCAAGGCGACGAUCUGUAGCUGGUCUGAGAGGACGACCAGCCACACUGGGACUGAGACACGGCCCAGACUCCUACGGGAGGCAGCAGUGGGGAAUGUUGGACAAUGGGCGAAAGCCUGAUCCAGCAAUGCCGCGUGCGUGAUGAAGGCCUUCGGGUUGUAAAGCACUUUUGGCGGGAACGAAAAGGACUGUGCCAAUACCACGGUUCGAUGACGGUACCCGCAGAAUAAGCACCGGCUAACUACGUG
rnacentral:rRNA from 1 species